AUCAACUUUCGAUGGUAGGAUAGAGGCCUACCAUGGUGGUAACGGGUAACGGGGUGUUAGGGCACGACACCGGAGAGGGAGCCUGAGAAACGGCUACCACAUCCAAGGAUGGCAGCAGGCGCGCAAAUUACCCAAUCCCGACACGGGGAGGUAGUGACAAUAAAUAACAAUACGGGGUUCUUUCGGAUCUCGUAAUUGGAAUGAGUGCAAUUUAAAUCUCUUAACGAGGAACAAUUGGAGGGCAAGUCUGGUGCCAGCAGCCGCGGUAAUUCCAGCUCCAAUAGCGUAUAUUAAAGUUGUUGCAGUUAAAAAGCUCGUAGUUGAAUUUCGGGACCAAUUUGUUGGUCGUGCCUCGGUACGUACUGGUAUUAUUGGUUUCUACCUUCUGAAGAACCUUGAUGUCAUUGACUUGGUGUCUUGGGGAAUCAGGACUGUUACUUUGAAAAAAUUAGAGUGUUUAAAGCAAGCAUACGCUUGAAUACAUUAGCAUGGAAUAAUGAAAUAGGACGUUUGAUUCUAUUUUGUUGGUUUCUAGGAUCGACGUAAUGAUUAAUAGGGAUAGUUGGGGGCAUUAGUAUUCAAUUGUCAGAGGUGAAAUUCUUGGAUUUAUUGAAGACUAACUACUGCGAAAGCAUUUGCCAAGGAUGUUUUCAUUAAUCAAGAACGAAAGUUAGGGGAUCGAAGACGAUCAGAUACCGUCGUAGUCUUAACCAUAAACUAUGCCGACUAGGGAUCGGAUGAUGUUAAUUUUUUAAUGACUCAUUCGGCGCCUUACGGGAAACCAAAGUGUUUGGGUUC
rnacentral:rRNA from 1 species